rnacentral:rRNA from 1 species
GUGCCAGCCGCCGCGGUAAUACCGGCAGCUCAAGUGAUGGCCACUCUUAUUGGGCCUAAAGCGUCCGUAGCUGGCCGCGCAAGUCCGUCGGGAAAUCCAUCAGCCCAACUGAUGGGCGUCCGGCGGAAACUGCACGGCUUGGGACCGGAAGGCUCGAAGGGUACGUUCGGGGUAGGAGUGAAAUCCCAUAAUCCCGCACGGACCACCGAUGGCGAAAGCACUUCGAGAAAACGGAUCCGACAGUGAGGGACGAAAGCCAGGGUCUCCAACCGGAUUAGAAACCCUAGUAGUCC